rnacentral:misc_RNA from 1 species
AACGCAUCUUGCGCCCUUUGGUAUUCCGAAGGGCAUGCCUGUUUGAGUGUCAUGAAAUCUCAACUACCAGGGUUUCCUGGUAAGCUUGGAUUUGGGUGUCUGCCUUGCAUAGAGGCUCAUCUUAAAAGUGUUAGCGUGUCCGAUCAGUGAUAUUGUCUGGCGUAAUAAGUUUCGCUGGGCUAGCUGAGAAGCGUGCUUCUAAUCUGUCUUUUGGGACAACUUUUCUUGACUUUUGACCUCAAAUCAGGUAGGGCUACCCGCUGAACUUAA